rnacentral:rRNA from 1 species
UCAUGGCUCAGAUUGAACGCUGGCGGCAGGCCUAACACAUGCAAGUCGAGCGGAAACGACACUAACAAUCCUUCGGGUGCGUUAAUGGGCGUCGAGCGGCGGACGGGUGAGUAAUGCCUAGGAAAUUGCCUUGAUGUGGGGGAUAACCAUUGGAAACGAUGGCUAAUACCGCAUAAUGCCUACGGGCCAAAGAGGGGGACCUUCGGGCCUCUCGCGUCAAGAUAUGCCUAGGUGGGAUUAGCUAGUUGGUGAGGUAAUGGCUCACCAAGGCGACGAUCCCUAGCUGGUCUGAGAGGAUGAUCAGCCACACUGGAACUGAGACACGGUCCAGACUCCUACGGGAGGCAGCAGUGGGGAAUAUUGCACAAUGGGCGAAAGCCUGAUGCAGCCAUGCCGCGUGUAUGAAGAAGGCCUUCGGGUUGUAAAGUACUUUCAGUUGUGAGGAAGGGGGUARCGUUAAUAGCGCUAUCUCUUGACGUUAGCAACAGAAGAAGCACCGGCUAACUCCGUGCCAGCCGCG